AGGGGAGGGAAAAAGUAAAUAAAAUAAAGAGAAGUAUAAAAAGGAUGAUAUUUAAUAUAUUUAUAUAUGUUAUGUACUUCAUCCUUUUUAUACUUCUCUUUAUUUUAUUUACUUUUUCCCUCCCCUUAC